UGGCUUCAAAUCGCGGCGGUUUACCCCUAUAUCUGUGUUUGCCGGGCAACCGGCUAUGGCGAUAAAAGGCGUUCAUAAUAAGCGGAUCGGACCCGGGGGCGGUACCCGGCGGCUCCACCAGAGGACCUGAUAGCUGAUAGACAUCAGUCAUUUCGGGUCUUGCGGCGGGGCCGAAAUAGGAUCGACGAACGUGUAAAGGCUCUGCUUUCGCCCGGAUGGCUUCCGUUAUUGGGCCAUUAUUAUAGUUGCAAAUGACAACUACGAUGAAGAGUUCGCACUCGCAGCGUAAUGCAGCGCGUGUAACUCGCUUUUAAAAGCCCCACGCCUCUUAUCAAGGCCUGGGCGGGGUUUCCCGGCGCACCUGGCAACAGAAGCGUCGGACU
rnacentral:tmRNA from 1 species